rnacentral:rRNA from 1 species
UACGUAGGGUGCAAGCGUUGUCCGGAAUUAUUGGGCGUAAAGAGCUCGUAGGCGGUUUGUUGCGUCGGCUGUGAAAUCCCGAGGCUCAACCUCGGGUCUGCAGUCGAUACGAGCAAACUAGAGUGUUGCAGGGGAGACUGGAAUUCCUGGUGUAGCGGUGAAAUGCGCAGAUAUCAGGAGGAACACCGGUGGCGAAGGCGGGUCUCUGGGCAACAACUGACGCUGAGGGGCGAAGGUCAGGGGAGCAAACGGG